GACAGAGGGUGCAAACGUUGCUCGGAAUCACUGGGCGUAAAGCGCACGUAGGCGGACUCUUAAGUCAGGGGUGAAAUCCUGGAGCUCAACUCCAGAACUGCCUUUGAUACUGGGAGUCUUGAGUCCGGAAGAGGUAAGUGGAACUGCGAGUGUAGAGGUGAAAUUCGUAGAUAUUCGCAAGAACACCAGUGGCGAAGGCGGCUCACUGGCCCGGUACUGACGCUGAGGUGCGAAAGCGUGGGGAGCAAACAGG
rnacentral:rRNA from 1 species